GUAAUAUAUGCAAUUAAUAUACAGUUCUGCCCAUCCUGUUGAUUUUCAAAAUCAUCAAUCUAACUGGCAGCUUUCAGACAGCUUUUAACAAAGGCCUAUUCAGGAAAUUAAGCCAGUAAAUGCUGCUCCCGUCUUUUAAUUGUAGUUAUAUAUAGUUAUUGCUGUGUGUAGCUGGAAAGAUUUUUUGGACAAGAUAUCAUGGGAAAGAGAAGCUUUUGUUUGGUCUUUUUCAACAGAUAUGUGACCGAGGCAGCUUUGAAGCUGUUCCCAAGAAUCCUUCUUCCUUCUGUGGGAUGUCUUAUCUUUGUAUGGAGUUUCUGACUAUGGACCUCAUUAUGCAGUCUUUCGUUCUUGUGCCAUACAGUUGGGUAAGAAUUGCUCAGGUGAGUGAGGUGAGUCCUAGAUCUUUAUUAGAGAAUGAAGAUAGCUGGAAUGCCUGGUUCAGAAGUGUUAAACAAAAGCUUUGUUUUUCCCUAUCUUCCAGUUGGGAGGGAAUAAAAGGAAAUAAAAGUAAUUAUGGCUCAGCAGCAGGAAGAACAAUAUAAAGAGAAUGCUCAUGAAUGGCUCUUUAAUAACCUAUUUGUCACCCAGGUCUCCUUCCAGCAAGGGCUCUCUCUGUAUCCAUGAUGCCAUUUACAGGUGUUUCAGCCCUUCUGCUAGAAGGAGUCUCCACUGCCACUGAGAGUUAAUCCUGCUCUGCAGAGUUUAGUUGCUGGAAUUCUUUCAUGUUAAAGGACACUUGUCCUGGGAGACACAGAGCAGCUCACUGAAGAAAGCUGGGGCAUCUUGCAGCAAAGAGCCGUGGGAUGAGGAGAGGUAGCGCUGUACACUGAAAGCAGCUGGAAGAAUUUGCUGGCUGCUCCGAUUACUCCUGUAACACAGGCUGUAGUUGCUUGCUCACUCUCAUUCUCCCAUGAAACCUAUGUUAUGGCCCUGCCUCCUCCUUGCUCUUUUUUUUUUUUUUUUUUUUUUUUCCCAGGGAACCACAGUUUCUUUCUCUCUUUGGAGAGGAAUCAAAAAUUCCUUCCAGCCUCCUGCUACAUGGUUCACCCUUGAAAGGGCCAGUUUGUGUGUGCAAGUGCAAUUCAGAGUACCAGGAAUUACCUGCAAAGGGCUCUGUGACAUACAAUCUGAGUUCGUACAGUAGAAAAAGGCAUAUUUGUGAGACUUUCCCAGCGUCUCCUGCUCACUCUCACACGCAGGUGCAUGAUGUUGUCUGACAUUGGUGAAGGCUUGAACUCUCAAUGGCUGUCAUGUAGAGCUGCUCAGUUAUGGUCUCUCUUUUCUCCUUGGCAACAUAUUUUCACUUAACUGAAUUACUACUUUUUUGGCUGCUAAAUGUGAUUGUUACUUAGUAAUGUCUUAAAAUGAUGACUGUAUUACAUGUAAGCACAUACAGCAUGUGGGAUUGCCCUCAUUUCUUUCAAUGAUAUGGCUGAAACUGGUUGUUUUAAUCGGUCAGACUGAAACUACAUGUUAUCAAACAAACCAGUUUGUAAAGAAAUAGUGUGUAGCCUCAGUUACUAACCAUUUGAAGGACAGCUGAAAGACAUCUUUGAUGGUUCAGUGAUGUGCCACAUCAGGAAUAUGAGCGUAUGUGCUGCCUGGGCCCAAAACCAGAAGAAAACAGAAUGAAAUCUGGAGGAUGCAGGUCCUUCAUUGGGUAAAUGUAAGGCCAUUUUGAGACUGGGCCCUACACAGUGCUCCACAUGGACAGAUCCAUUUCUGUGUGAUGUGGGUGCAAGGAUUCAUAAGGACUUUACUGCUACGGUGCCUUGGCUCCCACUUCUAGGACUUAGUGCUAUGUUAAAAAAACCAAAAAGCACAUAAAACCAACAAACAACAACAAUAACAACAACAACAAAGCCAGAAAUGGCAUUAGGAGAAUCAAAACUGCUUUUAGCAAAAUCAGAAUUGCAUUUUUUUUGAGGGUCUCUACACUCAGUAGAAUGUUACAAAAAAAGGAUGAACCCAGUAUGGAAUUGCUGAAAAUUCCAGAGCUGGUUUGACAUAUGCGCUGCUAUUGGCUUCAACAGGCUCAUUUUAUGUGUUUCUUACUUUGGGCUUCAGGAUGAAUCAAAAUGCAAUGUUGUUAGCCUGUAUCAAUGAGGCUGUAAGCUGGGAGUUGCACAAGUGUAUCAGCAGAAAAGCGUUUGGCUUUAGCCAGCAAUUAAUCAUGACUAGGACAAGUAACCUCUCCAGAAUUCUCAGGUUUUUGUAUUUAUUAACUGCAGUUCAUUAAAAUAUAUAUAUAUAUAUUCCAAAGUAAGCAGUAGCAAAGUGGAGAUCUGGAGAAAUAAAUGGCCCAAACUAUCACACUGUGACAGUUUUGGCCAAACCUUUACUCAGUUUUAUAAAACAAAUAUAGGUGUUGUUGUGUUGUCAAAAUAUCUCUUUUCAUUGGAUGCUCAUUCAUGAAUAAAAUGGUUCAUUUUAUUUUUCCAUGUAUUAACUGGGCAUCCAACAGUGAAUUCACUGUCAUCCCAGAGGUGUGCCAUAUUAGCCAAUGCACAUCAUACAUGAGUUUUAUGGAAUGUUUAUGGUUUGCUGCUUUUUUUAAAUGUGUACAUCCCAAGAAAGAUGGAAAUCACUUAGGACUGUGAUAUGGGCUUAAAAUUUGAAGGAGGUAAUUUCUCUGGAUCUCAAAAAUCAUAGGAAAUAGUCAUUGUCUGCAGUCUUUCUCUUCUUUUCACUAAGUAUGAGAUGUGCAAGAGGACUCCAAUAGCUGAGUGUUAUUUCAUUUGCUUUCCACACCAACAUUUGAGCAUUUUCUUCUUUUCCUUUUUAUGAAAUAUUCAUGUCCAGUUAGAAAUGAAUACACUGAAAACAGCUAAAAUUUCACCCCAUUUUGGACCUGUGGCCCAAGAAGAAGCUUAUGAUGAUUGAAAACAGUGGCACACACCAAGUCAAAGUUACAUCAGAUCUGACUGAUUGUUUAACAGCUGCCCAACAAUGCUGUUAAAAGUAGGAAAGAAAACCACACGUUAUUUAUACAUUCAUAUUUAUAUAUGUUUUGUUUCUCUUCACCUUCCAAGAGAUCAUAGAUUCAGAACUGAACAACAGCAUUUGGGGAAUAUAAUCCACAGAACGUACACAAAAAUCCAGCAAAAUCACAAGAAAAAUUGGUCACUACUCACUAGUGUAUCGAAUCAUGAAAAAGAGGUGUUGUUUAGCUCUCUGUACUCAUUAAACUAAAAGUACAUGGAACUUUUUUGGUUUGCAAGUUUCAGGUAAAAUGCACUGUAAAACUCACUUUGUUAUGUGUUCAGCUUUUCAUAGGUAAUUGAGAGAUAUGAAGAGUAAUGACAAACUGAUGCCCUGUUACAACGGUGCUUUACAAGCACAAUUGCACCAGAGGAACCAAAUUACAACCUAUUCAUUCUGAUCUCUAGGUACAGAACGGUAAAACAUGGUUAUAAUGGGGUAUGGACAAUGCCAGAGCACUGAGGAUGCACUAGCUUGGAAGGGGAAACCAUUUAACUCUCAAUACCUUCUGUGAUAAAAGUACAGAGGGACUGUGAGGAUAAUGUGUACUUUUGGUUCAUCUUCAGUUGAAUAUUUUGAAUAGGUAACCAGGUGAAAGGCAACUAUGCUCUGUAAUGUUAACACAUGAAAAUCAUUUUAGACGUUUGCUUCGGUUUUG